rnacentral:rRNA from 1 species
UACAGAGGGGGCAAGCGUUAUUCGGAAUUAUUGGGCGUAAAGGGCUCGUAGGCGGUUUGUCGCGUCGGGAGUGAAAUCCACUGGCUUAACUGGUGGCUUGCUUUCGAUACGGGCAGACUGGAGGUAUGCAGGGGAGAACGGAAUUCCUGGUGUAGCGGUGAAAUGCGCAGAUAUCAGGAGGAACACCGGUGGCGAAGGCGGUUCUCUGGGCAUGUCCUGACGCUGAGGAGCGCAAGUGUGGGGAGCGAACAGG